ensembl:processed_transcript
ACGUCAUAAGGCUGCGCCGCUCCUGCGCUGCAUUCAGCUGGAGAAAGGAUAAAGUGUCUAAACAGAAAAACUCCUGCUGAAGCGACUGAUCUCCACACUGGUAUAAAGAUGGCGUUUAUUAAAGAGGAGAGUGAAGAUGUGAAGAUUGAAGAAACAUUCAGUCAAACAAGAAGAUCUGCAGGAACAAACAGGU